rnacentral:rRNA from 1 species
AUUGAACGCUGGCGGCAGGCCUAACACAUGCAAGUCGAGCGAGCGGCGGACGGGUGAGUAAUGUAUGGGGACCUGCCCGAUAGAGGGGGAUACCGACUGGAGACGGUAGUUAAUACCGCGUACUGUCGGAUGAACCCAUAUGGGAUUAGCUAGUAGGUGAGGUAAAGGCCCACAUAGGCGACGAUCCCUAGUUGGUCUGAGAGGACGACCAGCCACACUGGAACUGAGACACGGUCCAGACUCCUACGGGAGGCAGCAGUGGGGAAUAUUGGACAAUGGGCGAAAGCCUGAUGCAGCCAUGCCGCGUGUAUGAAGAAGGCCUUCGGGUUGUAAAGUACUUUCAGCGGGGAGGCGUUACCCGCAGAAGAAGCACCGGCUAACUCCGUGCCAGCAGCCGCGGUAAUAC